GUACUUGUGAUGAAAUUCAAAAGGCACAGAGAAGAUUAUCAAGGUCUCUGCUCAAGGAAGACUCAUGCAAAUUUGCGAGGUGUCCCAUAACACA
rnacentral:snRNA from 1 species